CAGACUUGCCCUCGCAAUGAGAGCAGGUACCGCCCUCAGAUGUUUGGGACCCAGCUGAGGGUGUGGGGUCCUCGCCGUGGGGGCUGAACCGCCCGGGAGUGUGAGGAGACAAAGGAAUCCAGGUCCAACUCUUUUCCGCUUUGGGGCUCGUUGCCCCGGCUGUCUCAUAGCUCUUCUUACCAGUGGCCCAGCUCCAAUCAGGUGCCUGAAGGAGGCAGGUUCUGAGGACUUGAGUCCUGAUGGCUGCUGAAGCUUCUACUCCAGAUUCAAGGGCAGCAGUCCUCAGGAGACCCCAACACUUCACAUUCCUGGUGCAAUAUGACGCCUGGAUCAAUGUCUUAAGAAGAGCAUUUUUUAACUUGGAGGAAGUCCAAUUUAUGUAUUAGUUCACUUAUAGAUUGUAGUUUUGGUAUCUCUUCUAUGAAACCUUCACCUAACUCAAGAUCACAAGGACUCUUUCCUAUGUUUCUUCUAGAAGACUGACAACUUUAGGAUAUAUAUUUAGGUCUUCUUUAAUUUUUCUGAGCAAUGUUUUGAAGUGUUUAGUGAACAGGCUUUGCACAUCUGUGGACAGAUGAUCUAAUUGAUGAAUUCUGCGUUCUUGAGUGGUGAGACAGAGGAAGGAGAGACCAUGUACAUAUAUAACAGACAAGGCUGUGGACUCUGAGCCCCUGAAAUAGGAGCCAAUAGAGAAGAACAAAGUGUGAUGUUGAGUGUGCUAGACUGGGUCCUAGAACAAGAGUGAAGAGAUUAAGAUCCUAUCAUUGGGACCAUUUAGUGAAAGCAGAGCAGUGUGUGAACUGUGAGCCCCAGAAACAGGAAACAAUAGAGAAGAACCAGGUGUGAUGUCCAGUGUGCUAGACAAAUUGCUGGAACAAGAGCGACAAGAUCAGGGUCCCAUCAUUGGGAUACUUUAGGCAAGUGAUGUAUACAGAGGGAUUGUUCCAGUUAAGUGAAAAUCCAGAAAGCUGGCUGAUCCCAUGAGGUCAAGCUCCCAAUCUCCAUCCUCCCUCCCCUGUGUGGAGCCCCCUGAUCUGAGACUCAGAGCUGCCAUUCUGGAUCUCACCACCAGGCAAUUUUUGAGAGUGGAGUUUGAUGAUGGUGGUUCUUUGGCGCCACCUUGUGACAAGAGCCUGAAGUGCUGCUUGAACACAAAGGAACAGGAAAAUGGGAGAGAUGGUCUCUGACACAAACCCAGACAGCAGACAGCAGUUUCUCAGACUGUUUCUGAAAGUGGAGUUUGAUGAUGGUUCUUUGGCGCCAAAUUGUGGAGAAAGCCUGAACUGCUGCUUGAACCUUAAGGAAGAGGAAAAUGGGAGGGAUGGUCUGUGACACAAACCCACCACACAGAACUUGCUGGAGUUUCCAUUUUGAAAUGGAAAGUGCAGAAUUCCUUGACUAAACCAUAUUGGGGCGCUCUCCCUGGACGCUACAUAUAAGUCUAAUCAUACAAUAUCUAAGUCUAAUCAUACAAUAUCUGGUCUUUUGCAUUUUUGACUCCUUUCGCUUAGCUUACUAUUUUCAAGGUUUAUCCAUUUUAUUUUUUAUUUAUUUACUUAUGUAUUUCUCUAUGUAUUUAUGUAUGUAUGUAUGAAUGUAUGUAUAUAUUUUAACCUUGGAGGCAAUUCUUGAGAGUGGAGUUUGACGAUGGUGGUUCUUUGCGCCACCUUGUGGCAAAAGCCUUAACUGCUGCUAAAACACUACAGAACAGGAAAAUGGAAGGGAUGGUCUGUACACAAACCCGCCAGACAGAUCUUUCUCAGGUUAAAGUGGAAAGUGUGGAAUUUCUUGACUAAAGCAUAUUGGAGGGCUCAUUCUAGACAUGGCAUAUAAAUGGAAUCAUUUUUCUAGGCAAAUAUAGACAUAUUUGAAGUCAGUUGCCUUUUUGUCUCCUUUCACUUAGCUUAAUAUUUUCAAAG